rnacentral:rRNA from 1 species
AUGAUCAUCAAUGAAAGAGGUGAAUGGGAGUCCGAAAGUGACCCUGACGGUGGCAAUGAUGAAGUGGACGAGGAGCAAGGUUGGGAAGUAGGACGAACUAUUUUAUCUCAUGAGGAACUUGAUGGACAAGUGUUGGUUGUAUGUCGUUCACUUAAUGCCCAGGUUGUGGAGGAGGAAAAGGGGAAGCGACAUAAUAUUUUCCACACUUGUUGCCUUAUCGACUCAAAGAUAUGUCGAGUGAUUGUUGAUAGUGGCAGCUGCAACAAUAUUGCAAGCAUGGAGAUGGUCGAAAAGCUUCAAUUGCAAACAAAAUGUCACCCAUACCACAUGCAAUGGUUGAAUGAUUGUGGCGCAAUUAAGGUGAUUAACAGCAUGCAAAUACCAAUUUCAGUUGGGACAUAUCAAGAUGAUGUUGAGUGUGAUGUGGUGCCGAUGCACGCUUGUCACUUGCUUCUUGGACGACCGUGGUUGCAUGACCGUGAUGUGCAAAGUAGUGGGCGUGCGAAUCGCUUAAGUUUUGUCCACAAAGGAAAAAAGUUCACUUGGCUGCCCAUGACACCCGAGGAAGUCUAUCUUGAUGAGAAGAAAAGAAAAGGAAAGAAAAAGGGAGAGAGUGAUCAUACACAACGAGUGAGCCACCUACAUAGUGAGGGAGUGUUUCCACAGCCAAAAGCUCCAUAG